AUAGUCUAAUGUGCGGGCAGGAGAGGAAGGGGCUGCAGUCUUCUGGCGCUCUCACAAACAAACGAGCUCCGGAUCGAAAUCCAGUCGCAACUGAAAAUAGCCUAUAUUUUGUCAAACGAGUAGUCAACGCUUUGUCCUAGAUCUGCACCAUGAUUCAAAUAAUUAUGUAACAGUUUUUUUUAAUUAUCAUUUUCUUUUUUUUUUUUUUUUUUUUUUUUUUAUUAGGCUGUCUGAAAUGUUUAUGUGAGGAAAAUUACAUUUUCAUCUCGUUAAACUUGUUUAACGCGUUGACAGUAUGACCCGUUAUAUUCAUAUUGUAUAUUUGGGUGGCUGAAUAUUUUUUUGGAAGUGAAAUGUCAUUUAUAAUGUGGACCCGAUCUACACUCAAGUUUCUUUUCGUUGUAUUAGCUGCGAUUGAAGUUCAGUCUGCCCCUGAAGAUUGUCCUCGACAAGAGUCCCUUCCUGGAGUUUUGAUCUUGAAGUUAGGAAGCAAUGUUGUGUUUGGCUGCAGAGGCGAUAUCACUGUGGACGGUGUGUCGUUGGCUUCGGCCGGUGUCGUGAAUAAAAAAUACAGAAACAAGCGGACAGAAGACAUCACUGUCAGGUGGACGUCCCAAAGAGGUUAUGCUAAUGCUACACAGCUAACCAGAAUGAAGAGAAAUGCUACAACUGGGACAUACCAAAAGACUGAAGCUAAAGGGGACACAACAACUACCAUUAAACCACCUGUAACUAUAAAAAAGGAACAAACCACUUCUACACGUGUUUUGCGUGCUGUCACUCAAACUACUGGACAGGACGAAAAGGUCUUCCGUAUCACCACAGAUUUUGAGCAAGAUGAUUAUGAGGACUAUGAUUAUGAAGAGGAACAUUCCAGGGUGACAAGAGGCAUUAAAAGGCGAACACGCUGGACUCUCAAUGGACGACAAGUGCAUGCUGGAGUGGAAAGAGGAGGGAUUUUAAGACGGCCACAUCUCAACUGGACAGAUUCUGGGAAUUACAGCUGCUACCGAGGAGAGAGACUAAUUUCCACAUUCAGAAUCAGUGUAGCGAUGCCCCCAGAAAGACCCACUGUCUACUGCUACAGGAGGUUUCACACAAGUAAAGUCCGCUGUGAUUGGACAUCCAAAAAUCCAGUAACCCCACGGACACUGUGUUACCUACUUCUUCAAAAAGGACUGUCUGGCAACGUCACUCGUGUGCCUUGUUCAUUCUCAUUCUCACGCUCCCGUUGUUGGUGUGCUUUUCACGUGGAGGAGGGUGACAGGAAUCUCCAUGCAGCAAAACUGUGUGUGUCUAACAUAGCAGGGUCUACCACAAGCCCUUACCUCAGCUUCAAGCUACACGACAUCAUUAAGCCAGACCCUCCGACCCAUGUGGUGGUGAGAGCAGUUCCAGGCCAACAGCACAUACUCAAAGUAUCCUGGUCUUAUCCCAAUACCUGGAAGAAUGACUUCUAUGCCCUGCUUUUUGAGCUGAGAUACCGACCGCAACUCAAAGAGCAGUACCAGACAGUGCCGAUAGAUGACGUGAUGGAGAAACAAGUGUCCUGGACGAUUUAUGAUGCUAUGCCACACACUCAGUAUGAAGUGCAGCUUCGGGCCAAAGAUGAGUUUGACGGCAUCUGGAGUGACUGGACUGAUACUGUCUAUGCAGUCACUUGGGAAGCUCCUAAGACAACUACUACCACUGAGAGCAUUACUUUGGAGACUCUUGAGAUGUUUCCUGAAGGUUCAGGAGGAUCUGGAGAAGACUCUAGUGUAGGUUCAGUGGCAACAGAUGGAGCUAAUGAUAUUGACUAUGCUACAGUGUGGCUGUGGGUGUCAUGUUUUUUUGGGCUGCUUUUUCUUGCAGUCCUCACCAUGUUCACAGUCUAUUUAAUCAGGGGUAGGCUGCAUUUCGUGUCUAGAAUAGGAAAACAGACAUUGCCCUUUGCAUUCUUCCUUCAUUCCCCUCGACCUCUUCCUGCUCCUGCUCCCUCUGAGCUGCUUCCAGAGGAGGGAAAGUCACUGAUGUCUCCUCCCAAACACAACCAGCAACACUUCCUUCCUGUUCAGCAAGAGGAGCAGGAGGGCAUUCAUCUGCAUAACAUGGAUUAUUUCCUGUCUCCAGGGACUGAGGGUGUGCCAUGGGCCAUAGACAGACAUGAGUGAACAUGAAACCUCAUUGUAGUGGAUACACUGCGAUUGGCUACAAUUCGCAUACUGUUUUUAGGAAUGUUACAAUAAUCUCAAGAUAAUAUCUCAUCAACAUGAAAAAUGAUUGACCAUUAACCAGAAGAAAGAUCGUUUCAUCAUUGUGCCUAACAGUAACCACAUGGCAAUCUACUUCAGUGAGACAGUCUCUGUUACCAGUGUUCUGGAUACAAAUGUAAAAAAGCUAUAGAAUAAUAAAUAAUGUACAGUGA